GACCGCGUAGCUCAGUUGGAAGAGCAUUGGGCUAGUCUCCAAAGGUCGUAGGUUCGAAUCCCACCGUGGCCG